rnacentral:rRNA from 1 species
UACCCGCGGCCCGAGUGGUGCCCAUUAUUAUUGAGUCUAAAGCGUCCGUAGCCGGCCGGGUAAAUCUCUGGGUAAAUCGGGCGGCUCAACCGUCCGAACUCCAGAGACACUGCCCGGCUUGGGAUCGGGAGAGGGUGAUGGUACUCCUUGGGUAGGGGUAAAAUCCUGUAAUCCGAGGGGGACCACCAGUGGCGAAGGCGAUCACCUAGAACGAAUCCGACGGUGAGGGACGAAGCCCUAGGGCGCAAACGGGAUUAGAUACCCCGGUAGUCUAGGGUGUAAACGCUGCAGACUUGGUGUUGGGGGUCCCGCGUGGGCUCCCAGUGCCGGAGCGAAGGUGUUAAGUCUGCCACUUGGGGAGUACGGCCGCAAGGCUGAAACUUAAAGGAAUUGGCGGGGGAGCACCGCAACGGGAGUAGCGUGCGGUUCAAUUGGAUUCAACGCCGGAAAACUCACCGGGGGCGACGGAAGUAUGAAGGCCAGGCUGAAGACCUUGCUCGAUCUUCCGAGAGGUGGUGCAUGGCCGUCGUCAGUUCGUACCGUAAGGCGUUCUGUUAAGUCAGAUAACGAACGAGACCCUCGCCUUCAGUCGCAACUCCGCGGGUGACCGCGGGGGCACACUGGAGGGAUCGCCGUCGCUAAGAUGGAGGAAGGAGAGGUCAACGGUAGGUCCGUAUGCCCCGAAUCUCCCGGGCAACACGCGCGCUACAAAGGCUGGGACAAUGGGAUCCGACCCCGAGAGGGGGAGGUAAUCCUGAAACCCAGUCGUGGUCUGGACUGAGGGCUGUAACUCGCCCUCACGAAAAUGGAUUCCGUAGUAAUCGCGGGUCAACAUCCCGCGGUGAAUAUGCCCCUGCUCCU